CUCAGGGAGGUAGUGACAAGAAAUAACAACACUGGAAAUUUUAUUUCUAGUGAUUGGAAUGAUGGGAAUUUAAACCCCUUUCAGAGUAACAAUUGGAGGGCAAGUCUGGUGCCAGCAGCCGCGGUAAUUCCAGCUCCAAUAGCGUAUAUUAAAGUUGUUGCAGUUAAAAAGCUCGUAGUUGGAUGUCUGCUGGAAGCAAUCAGUCCGCCCUAUUUGUAGGGUGUGCACUUGAUGAAUUCUGGCAUCUAUGUCCUAAUGUGAUAGAUACGGCGGUGUAUAUGGGUUAAUCCUAUAUACCCGUUUUUGUAUGUUAUAUUGGGAUAAUACCGUUACUUUGAGAAAAUUAGAGUGUUUGAAGCAGGCUAAUUGCCUUGAAUACUGCAGCAUGGAAUAACAAUAUAGGAUUUCGGUUCUAUUUUGUUGGUUUCUAGGACUGAAAUAAUGAUUAAUAGGGACAGUUGGGGGCAUUCGUAUUUAACUGUCAGAGGUGAAAUWCUUAGAUUUGUUAAAGACGAACUACUGCGAAAGCAUUUGCCAAAGAUGUUUUCAUUAAUCAAGAACGAAAGUUAGGGGCUCGAAGACGAUCAGAUACCGUCGUAGUCUUAACCAUAAACUAUGCCGACUAGAGAUAGGAAAAUGUCAUUUUUCUGACUU
rnacentral:rRNA from 1 species